GACGAACGCUGGCGGCGUGCUUAACACAUGCAAGUCGAACGAAGAGCGAUGGGAGCUUGCUUCUAUCAAUCUUAGUGGCGAACGGGUGAGUAACGCGUAAUCAACCUGCCCUUCAGAGGGGGACAACAGUUGGAAACGACAGCUAAUACCGCAUACGAUCUAAUCUCGGCAUCGAGGAUAGAUGAAAGGUGGCCUCUUCAUGUAAGCUAUCACUGAAGGAGGGGAUUGCGUCUGAUUAGCUAGUUGGAGGGGUAACGGCCCACCAAGGCGAUGAUCAGUAGCCGGUCUGGAAGGAUGAACGGCCACAUUGGGACUGGGACACGGCCCAGACUCCUACGGGAGGCAGCAGUGGGGGAUCUUCCGCAAUGGACGAAAGGCUGACGGAGCAACGCCGCGUGAGCGAUGACGGCCUUCGGGUUGUAAAGCUCUGUUAAUCGGGACGAAAGGCCUUCUUGCGAAUAGUGAGAAGGAUUGACGGUACCGGAAUAGAAAGCCACGGCUAACUACGUG
rnacentral:rRNA from 1 species